rnacentral:rRNA from 1 species
GGGUAUAAAUCAGCUUUACGGAAGGAAAACAGAAAGGCAUAUCCUAUCAAAGACACGGAGGAUACCGAUUUGAUCGAACAACUGCGGGCGUCUGCGGCCCGGAACAUUGCAGCAGAUUUUCUGGAAAAAAUGCGCAGCAUCGGCUAUACGCCUCAGCAGGCGGCAGAGCUGCUGCGCAGCUGGAACGAAACGGAGGGAAAACAGCAUGAGUAAGAUCCUGACUUGUGAACAUCUGACCAAAGCCUAUGGGAAAGAGAAGACCGCCCUGAACGGCAUCGACCUGAACCUUGAUUUUGGCCGCAUCGUCGGCCUGCUGGGCCCGAACGGCAGCGGCAAGACCACGCUGCUCAAACUGGCAAACGGUCUGCUGCAGCCCACCGAGGGCGUGGUGAAGAUCGCGGGCAUGAUCCCCGGCCCGGAGACGAAGGAGAUCGUCUCCUACCUGCCGGAUGCCGAUUGGCUCCCCGACUGGAUGCGGGUGGAAGAGCUGGUGAACAUGUUCCGGGAUUUCUACGGGACGCCCUGCGAAGCCAAAGCGUACAUCGGGUUCGAUGCCGCCAAAGCCAACGAGAUGCUGGCCCGGCUGAACAUCGACCCCAAGGCCCGGCUCAAGACGCUUUCCAAGGGCACCAAGGAAAAAGUCCAGCUGGUGCUGGCUAUGAGCCGCGCCGCCAAGCUCUACCUGCUGGAUGAACCCAUCGGCGGUGUGGACCCCGCCGCGCGGGACUAUAUCCUGAACACGAUCAUUUCCAACUACAGCAAGGACGCAACGGUCGUCAUCUCCACCCAUCUCAUUGAGGACAUCGAGCCGGUGCUGGACGAGGCUGUGUUCCUGAAGGACGGCAAAAUCUUCGCCCACCGCGCUGUGGACGACAUCCGCGAGUAAGGUAGCGAAAUUCCUUGUCGGGUAAGUUCCGACCUGCACGAAAGGCGCAACGACUUGGGCGCUGUCUCGACCAUGGACCCGGUGAAAUUGCACUGGUCGUGAAGAUGCGACUUACCCGCGGAAGGACGGAAAGACCCCGUGAACCUUCACUGCAGCUUGGCAUUGGCCGCUGGUCCCGCGUGUAGAGGAUAGGCAGGAGGCAUCGAUCCGGAGGCGCCAGCCCCCGGGGAGCCGCCCUUGGAAUACUGCCCUCGCGCGACCGGCGUCCUAACCCGAGGCCGUCAACCGGCUCGGGGACCGUGCCAGGCGGGCAGUUUGACUGGGGCGGUCGCCUCCUAAAGGGUAACGGAGGCGCGCGAAGGUCCGCUCGGGACGGUCGGCAACCGUCCUUUUGAAUGCAAGAGUACAAGCGGGCUUGACUGCGAGGCCCACAAGCCGAGCAGGUGCGAAAGCAGGCUCUAGUGAUCCGGCGGCCCCGAGUGGGUGGGCCGUCGCUCAACGGAUAAAAGGUACUCCGGGGAUAACAGGCUGAUCUUGCCCAAGAGUCCACAUCGACGGCAAGGUUUGGCACCUCGAUGUCGGCUCAUCGCAUCCUGGGGCUGGAGCAGGUCCCAAGGGUACGGCUGUUCGCCGUUUAAAGCGGUACGCGAGCUGGGUUCAGAACGUCGUGAGACAGUUCGGUCCCUAUCCUCCGUGGGCGCAGGAGAAUCGAUGGAGGCUGCCCCCAGUACGAGAGGACCGGGGUGGACGCACCUCCGGUGAACCGGUUGUCGACCAACGGCACGGCCGGGUAGCCGCGUGCGGCGCGGAUAACCGCUGAAGGCAUCUAAGCGGGAAGCCGUUCCAGGGAUUAGUUCUCCUUCCGGUAAGGGCCCAGGUAGACUACCUGGUCGAUAGACGGCAGGUGCAAGGACGGCGACGUCCUCAGCCGAGCCGCACUAAUCGCCCGAGCUCUUCCGGAA